rnacentral:rRNA from 1 species
AACGAACGCUGGCGGCAUGCCUAACACAUGCAAGUCGAACGAGAUCUUCGGGUCUAGUGGCGCACGGGUGCGUAACGCGUGGGAAUCUGCCCUUUGGUUCGGAAUAACAGUUGGAAACGACUGCUAAUACCGGAUGAUGACGAAAGUCCAAAGAUUUAUCGCCAGAGGAUGAGCCCGCGUAGGAUUAGCUAGUUGGUGUGGUAAAGGCGCACCAAGGCGACGAUCCUUAGCUGGUCUGAGAGGAUGAUCAGCCACACUGGGACUGAGACACGGCCCAGACUCCUACGGGAGGCAGCAGUGGGGAAUAUUGGACAAUGGGCGAAAGCCUGAUCCAGCAAUGCCGCGUGAGUGAUGAAGGCCUUAGGGUUGUAAAGCUCUUUUACCCGGGAUGAUAAUGACAGUACCGGGAGAAUAAGCUCCGGCUAACUCCGUGCCAGCAGCCGCAGUAACAC